CGCAGUUACAAAAACCACCGCUAUUUAUAGGGCAUAUGCUCUUAGGUGUUACUAGGUAAUAUUAGGUAUUAUUCCACCACCACUGGAUAGAUCUUAAUUAUUGCCAAGUAUACAAUAAUAAAAUUGCUGCCAAAUGUUAUCCUUUUGUCUGAAGCUAAUGGAUGUGCCUCCACUUCGUCUACUCUCAGCAGCUGUGACCAUCAUCUAAAUGAAUAUAAGAAUUGAAUUAACGUGCAACUGAAGAAACUAUCCCUGUGUUAGUUGGGACCCACAGAAAAUAGAAGGCAUGCUCUGAUGGGGUUUCUGAAGAGACUGUAAUGAAAGAAAUUUUUGCAGAGGCUUGGGUGUGAUCAAGGAAACCUACAGGCAAAGCUGAGGAUUCCAAGGAUAGUACCAGAGCAAGUCAUUACCACCCUGAGAGCUGAGCCCGACAGAGUGAGGGAAGAUGCAUGUCAUUGGAUCCUGGGAGAGCUGAAA
rnacentral:lncRNA from 1 species